CUAGUUUUGCGCCUUUAGUCAAGUUUAAUGUUAAAAUUGUUAAUGUUGUUAAGUAAUUUGAAAGGUCAAAUUAGGGGAGCCAUGUAACUGCUGGUGAGUUAUUCCAAGCUUACCACAUGGUGGCGCUCUCCACAACUCAUGAGGGCGCUCUUCAUUGUUACCACAGAUUCAUGGUCCUUAUUGAUGACACAUGUCUGUGUCCUAAAUUUUUGACUCGUAUUUUGACUCGUAUUUUGACUCAGUAUAAUUCGAUCAUCCUUCCACCCCAGGACCCGAGGACAGAGUUUUUACGUGAACUCUGCAAUCGCCACAGUCAUAUUUGGUAAUAAAUAAGCCAGGAAUAUACAGUGUUGAACUUGAAA